UUCUUGUAUUUACAUAAGAAGUACUUCCUGCCCAGUGAAUAACUUUUCAACGGCCGCGGUAUCCUAACCGUGCAAAGGUAGCAUAAUCACUUGCCCAUUAAUUGUGGGCUAGAAUGAAAGGACUAACGAAAUAAAGACUGUCUCUAUAAGUUACAUAAAAAUUAAUCUCUAACUGAAGACUGUUAGAUGAGGUCGAAGGACAAGAAGACCCUAUAGAGCUUUAUUUUACUAAAUACUUACAAUUUUUUUAAAAUUCGGUUGGGGCGACCUGGGAAUCUUCAACAUCCCCCGAUAAUAGACAAAUACUUCACUUUUUAGACCCUUAAUAAAGAUCUUAAAACCAAGCUACCUUAGGGAUAACAGGCUAAUCCCACUAAAGAGUCCUUAUCAAUAGCGGGGGUUGGCACCUCGAUGUUGGCUUAGGGGAUCUAUACGACGCAAAAGUCAUAUAAAGAUGGUUUGUUCAACCAAUAAUUCCCUACAUGAGCUGAGUUCAGACCGGCGUAAGCCAGGUUAGUUUCUAUCCUCGAUAAAUCAACCUACUUACAGUACGAAAGGACCUAAAUAAGGAUAAUAGUUAUGAUAAAAGAAUUCUUAUAACAAGAUUUUAACUUUACUACCCAUAAAAUAUG
rnacentral:rRNA from 1 species